UCUUGUUCUGCUGAAUUGUCAAGAGAGCGGAUGGACAUCAGCGAUGCUGCCGUAGAGCUUUGUUUGAUCAGAGAUAAGUUAAAAGACUCCCAGGGAAGAAAUUGAAGCUCAAGCAAUUUUAGUCAUGCAUGAAACUUUCUUUGUUAAUGUUAUUUCUGAAGAAGAAAUUUAGAUGUAGUUUAAAUUCCACAAUGAUUUAAUUGCUAAAUUUGGAGCUUUCAUCUCUCAAUUCUUCUCCCCCUCUCUUUUUCUACCACUUCCCGAACUUUCCCAUUAACAAGGCCGUUGAAAAGCCCAAGUGAAACCAAUGCAAUUAUGACCCUAUGAGCCGAACAAGAAGGCCCAUUGAAUCCAGUAAUAUUGAGCCGGGUUUGAGGUGGAUGUCGUAUUGUGAAGAACCAUUCCAUCGCCUUCAAGCUCCGCAAAGGCACAAAUGAGGAUUUGUCUAUGCGUUCAUUUGAUUGACGAAUGGAAAAGUUUCUCUGUGGGGCGGAAGAC
rnacentral:lncRNA from 1 species